AACGAACGCUGGCGGCAUGCCUAACACAUGCAAGUCGAACGAGAUCUUCGGGUCUAGUGGCGCACGGGUGCGUAACGCGUGGGAAUCUGCCCUUUGGUUCGGAAUAACAGUUGGAAACGACUGCUAAUACCGGAUGAUGACGAAAGUCCAAAGAUUUAUCGCCAGAGGAUGAGCCCGCGUAGGAUUAGCUAGUUGGUGUGGUAAAGGCGCACCAAGGCGACGAUCCUUAGCUGGUCUGAGAGGAUGAUCAGCCACACUGGGACUGAGACACCGCCCAGACUCCUACGGGAGGCAGCAGUGGGGAAUAUUGGACAAUGGGCGAAAGCCUGAUCCAGCAAUGCCGCGUGAGUGGUGAAGGCCUUAGGGUUGUAAAGCUCUUUUACCCGGGAUGAUAAUGACAGUACCUGGAGAAUAAGCUCCGGCUAACUCCGUGCCAGCCGCCGCCGUAA
rnacentral:rRNA from 1 species